ensembl:lncRNA
GGGGGUACCGGUACAGAGUCAAUGUGGGGGCUAUAUACAGGGGGUACCGGUACAGAGUCAAUGUGGAGACUAUAUACAGGGGGUACCGGUACAGAGUCAAUGUGGAGACUAUAUACAGGGUAUUACGGUACAGAGUCAAUGUGGAGGCUAUAUACAGGGUGUUACGGUACAGAGUCAAUGUGGAGGCUAUAUACAGGGGGUACCGGUACAGAGUCAAUGUGGAGGCUAUAUACAGGGGAUUACGGUACAGAGUCAAUGUGGAGGCUAUAUACAGGGUGUUACGGUACAGAGUCAAUGUGGAGGCUAUAUACAGGGUGUUACGGUACCGAGUCAAUGUGGAGGCUAUAUACAGGGUGUUACGGUACAGAGUCAAUGUGGAGACUAUAUACAGGGUGUUACGGAGUCAAUGUGGAGGCUAUAUACAGGGUGUUACGGUACCGAGUCAGUGUGGAGGCUAUAUACAGGGUGUUACGGUACCGAGUCAGUGUGGAGGCUAUAUACAGGGGGUACCGGUACAGAGUCAAUGUGGAGGCUAUAUACAGGGGUACUGGUACAGAGUAAAUGAGGAGGCUAUAUACAGGGGGGGUACUGGUACAGAGUCA